AACACCUGAAAAAGUGGAUCCGCCAACUCAAAGUCAGGAUCCUGCACCUGCUCAGGAGAGAAAGGAUAAGGGAGCAUCUGCAGCUCAAGGUGAAAAACAGUCACAGAGUUAAAAGAAGACACGCUGAAAUGAUGCAGGCUGCUCCUAUGUUGGAAAAAUUUUCAUUAAAGUUCUCCCAAUAAAGCUUUACAGCCUUCUGCAAAGAA